AUCGUCGGUAAAUCGUCGGCUGUGUGCUGUUACUGCUGGCGAAGUGCGUACUGCUGUUACACAGCAUCGGACCUUUGAAGAUCCGAGGACAUGGUUUACGCUGCUGAAGAUGUGUCGAAACAUGAGCAUCUAGCCAGCGUCGGCAAAACGCUGCUGUUAGAUGAGCAACUUCUUGGCGGUUUAUAUUCAUCGGAUCGGUUGCGGUUAGAUGCAUCUUCAGCGCGUUUUACCCUUAACAUAAGGUCAAACUGUACUAUUUAAAUUUCGCGGGAUUUUGCAUAAGAGCUUCCAGACAAUCUAAUUCCGUCUCGAAGCGUUAUUUCAUUCAGACGGCGUACGCGUGCACGUGUUUCGAUGAUAAAAAGUUUUUAAGAGUAGGCUAUUUGACGAAAUUUUUCUUUCUGAAAACUUCCUUGUUGUGUUGUGUUGUAUUAACAUAGUAACAGUGAUGUCCCAGGGCAGUUGUCCAAGUUUGGCCUCAACGGGGGUAAGGACGUAGCAGAGACAACACGCAAAAUAAUCUAACUCAUAAUAAGCCAUGAAUCAGGAAUUUCCCUGAAUUGGUCGGGUAGGAAUUAAUAAUAAAAAUGGAUUAGAAGCAAUGGCGAAUAUUGUUGAGCUUAAUCAUGGAUCUGUAAGGAUAAAUCCUAUUACAAGAAGUGCCACUGAUGUGGAAAUGAAUCAUGUAAUGAAUUGGCUCCGCAAUGCCG